rnacentral:misc_RNA from 1 species
UUUCCGUAGGUGAACCUGCGGAAGGAUCAUUAAUGAAUUGUCAUGGGGUUCGAUGCUGGCAGCCAGUUUUUGGAUGCAUGUGCUUGCCCUAACAAUCAUCUUCUUCCAAACACCUGUGCACAUUUUUGAGGGAGUCUUGAGUUGGUUGCCGCUCUUGGGUGAUUUUCUCACAUUCCCUUAAAUCAUUAUACGCUAUUAACAAUGUUGAACGUGCUCUGUGCCGCAAGGCCAUUAAUAUAAUACAACUUUUAACAACGGAUCUCUAGGCUCUC